UUUUCGGAAGAGGGCUGGAGGCACAGUGUCCGGUUUGAUAAGGGAAGCUUUUUCACUGUACCUGAUGUUGUCAUUAUAGCGCGAGAGGAAUCAUUCUAUUUUCCUCUCUGCCAGGAAGAAUUUCUUCAUACGAAAUUGCCUGCUAAUUAUCUGUAUGAAGUGAUGUAACGAGACUUUGGUUGAAUGAGAUGACACCAAGGAUUUUAGCAGUCUUUAAGCUGCCCCCAUUGUAUAAAAGUAUACACUUAGAUUAUUGUAGUUGAUUGAUUCAUCU